AGCGGUGCCCCGUGUGUAUACCAUUCAUCCAACCAAAGGAGACGAGCGUCUAAUGAGGCAUUUUUCUCGAAUUGUUUUCUUGAGACUGUAGCUUGUUCGAAAAACUUAAACUCUUUACCCUUGCGCUAUAUAGCGGAGGUCUGCAGGUCAGGAGAUUAUGCACAUAGGAAUCGGGAAAAAAUCGAAGUGCAUGUAAUAAAGUAUGAAAUUAAUGUCGCAAAACCUGCCCCCCAUUCCACCCUGUUCUAAUAUAGGUGGUUGAAAUAUAAAGCACGAGAUCGCGUCGGUGGCGACGGACGCAACGUCGGCGAAUUCCUCGAUCGUCGGCUGUGGUGGCGAACUCAGCAGCUGCGCUUUCCCCGAGCCUUUCCGAAAGUACGACGACGAGACUCUCGACCUCGAGACACGAUAUCCACCGCCGCCGACGUCGACGACGACGACGACGACGAGUCGUCGUUUUCCACGUCCGGAAGGAUAGACCUUAAAGCAAACCGCGCGACGUCGAUGUCGGUCAGGACGUAUAUAUACAUAUACCGCCUAGCUAUAAUGCUGGGUAAACGCAAUAUUUGUACACUGCAGAAUUUUUUUACCUUCCGACCGAUUACGCGUACGAUUUUUGCGCGCUCAACCUGCAGUCGCCAUUUUGAUGGGGAUCGGUCGCCUUCGACUCAUCGCUGCAGUCACGUUUAAAAUCUGAUGUAAGAAUCGGCUUCGUUUUCGAUAACUAUAGACGAUUAUAAAUUAUCAUGCAAUUGCAAAUAUAUAUAUAUAUAGGUACAGAUAUCUAUAAUUAUAUGAUUCAAGUGAAAAACGAAAAGUGUGUUGACCGCAAUGUUAUUUUCCAUAUUGUUUCUUUUCAAUCGAAAUAAUGAUUCGCGAACGUGAUAUAUGAUACACACGCAUAGAUAUUAACAUUCGUGGACAAUAAAAAAGACGUCGGGGAUUUUCCGCAAAAAUAAGGUGGCAAUAUAUGAGACAGUUGGAAAACGUCGAAACUACCGCCAUCGGUACAUGGAGAACUUUUCAUCAUAUCUAGAAUUGAGAUCUACACAGCCUCUAGAUUUAUCUCUCUAUUUUCUCCCGCAGCAUAUUAUAUACACGUACAACGUAUACGUUCGCAUGAUAUUAUACAUUCCUAUACAUACGUAUGCGCGAGAUUUCACACGCCGAACCAAAUUUUAAAUUAUAUUAUACAUAUGUGUGCUACA
rnacentral:misc_RNA from 1 species